AACACUUCUGUAACAAACAAACAAAAAAGAUGUUAAUGCAAAUCCACAGGGCUUCCAGGUUGACGGAAGUGUUUUCACUCCUAAUUAAGAAAUUACAGUUCUGUAUCAACAUUUCCCUCUGAAACAGGAAGUUAUACAAAUAGAGUUGCUGGGCACAAUACAGAAUACUCAGCUAAAUCCAAAUUUCAUGGAAACAACAACUCAAUACUGUUGUAGAGGUAUGUCCUAAGUGUUGUACAGCACACACUCCUAAUUUAUUCAUUGUUUAUCUGAGAUUCAAAUGUAGCUGGGAGUCCUGUAGUUUUUGUUUGCUAAAUCUGGCAACUCUACCCAAAACCCUUCAACUGCGAAAAGCAACCGCUAUGAAGCUGUUUAGACUCAGUAACUAUGAAAGCCAAGAGAAUAUAGAAAUUAGAGACACUUACCGUGCCAGACCUUGCUGCUCCUCUUCUUCAGCAUCCCAGUAACCCAAGCAAGAAGCUCCGUCUUUGGGGAAGCAGGUGGACCAAAGCUGGCAGCCCUCAACAUGACACUGUGUCUUGUCAAUUACUUGCUGGGCCUUUAGGUCUGAACACUGUGCUUGGCUUUUUAGAAGCUGCCUUCAGUCGGCAAGGCAUAUUCAUGGCCCAAGUUGUGUUCAUUUUCAGAGAUCUGCCAAUCAGAGAAUACCUGUCUCUGUCCCCUAAUAAAAUAUGUUCCCAAUUCUAUCACAUCAGCCAUCCAUGCCCCAGCAAUAUUCCCUCUGCUUAUUAAAGGCAUAGAUCCUGAGCAGAUGCUGUCUCCUCUGGGCAUUGUUCCCCACUCCCAUGCAAGGAAGAGUGAGCAUCUUUGUGCAAAGACAUGGAAGGUUCAUGAAGUCAGUUACAAUGGGAUAUAAGUGUGUGCUCACCAUUUGUUAUGAAUAAAAAACGUAAAUGUGCAUAAGCCAGUCUGGAAGACUGUGCUUCAAAAUGUUGAUGAUUAUUAACCUUUAUGAUUAUGGAACUUAAGGGUGAUUGUCUUUGUGUUGAUUUAUUUAUCCUAGCUGUAACUUGAACCCCAAUCCCUUCCUCUAUGUUUGCAACUUUCCAGGUCACUUCUCAACAUGGUACAACCUCAAUCACUUUAAAGCUGUGUCUCAAACUUUACAGCACACAACUAUACGGAGAGCUGGCGUAAAUGCAGAUUCUGCAGCCCACCCCACAGAAUCUGCUUUAGCGCUUAUAAGGGCAUGGUCUUGUUCACAGUCGUCUACCCUGUACCUAGCACGUAGUGAGUGCCCAACCUACCCGCGCUCAGGAGCUGGAUGAAAUCGGCUCCUGCUACAGGAUGACAGCCUGAGAAACCAGGACAGGCCUUGCCCCCGGGGACCCCCCCAGGAUUCUCCCGGCAACCUCAGCUCCUAAGCUCUCAGAGGAAAGGACACCCCGUGGCAGCCCGGGAGAAUGCGGAGGAUCUGCAGCAACAUAACCACAGCCGUCUCAGCUAAGGCCAUUGCCCCUUUGUGCCGUCGGCUUCUGGAUUCUGAGCCACGGACCCAAGCUCCAGCAGAGCAAGAAGAAGCAGACCCACAGCUGUUGUCAGACCCCACGGGAGCCGCACGUCGGGGAGGAGGACGCGCAACUCCAGCCUCUGCUGAGGCUACUGUCUCGGCUGUGGCUCGUCAUUUGAAUAAAAAUCAAAUGACUUAGGAUCUGUCCAGAAUGAAGGAUGUUUUAAUACUUUGUGUGUAAAAACACUGAUAUUUUGCUGCUUUUUUAUUAAACAGAUUUUAUUAUUUUUCAGAAUCUUGUCAGCAUAAUCGUUUUAUGGGCGGAUGAAAUAUUCAGCCCUGCCACUGCUGGAGCUCUUUCACGGCAAUUACCUUGUGGCACUUGGGCUGUAAUUAGUUUUUUUUUCGCCCAGGAUUUUUCUCUGGGUCUGGGUAAUAAAUGAAAUAUGACCAGAAUUUAAAUUUGUCAAUUACAAGCAUGCAUCGUGCAUAAACACUCAGCACAGCCAUGAAUCCCAAACCACAGGCUGUUGCUGGGAGGGGUUGGGGCGGAGGCGGGGUGGGGGGCAGAUGCUCUGAAAAUUAAAAUGGAAAUAAAACUACUGCCUAGCAAGCGAAAAAUAGCCCCCAAAGAAAGCUGAUUUCCCGCAGCGUUCAUGCGUGGUUCUCCGCCCCCACCCGAGGGAGCGCGCUCUAGAUUACAAUUCUGCAGCGUGAAAGUGAGGACUGGAGGAGCAAGCCGUGAACUUGUGGGAGAAUAAUCUGCCCGGAGCUCUGACCUCCCGCCCUGUGGCUUCCUGUUUCCAGUGUCAGAUGCAAAGGUUCUGGGACAGGGCCACCCGGCGCCCACUGCAUUAUACAGACUGGUGGUGGGAGGCUUCCCAGUGAGCUGUGGAUGGAUUGGCAGAUGUGGCACCGGGAUCCACAGUGGCCCAGCAGCGGCAGGCUUCUUUCCCGGAGCUGACUCCAUCACUGCUCCUGUGGGGCCCUCUGCCGACCAGCUCUUGUACCGGCGAAAUCGCACAGCUGAGAGAUGGUGAUAAAUCACCGCUUAAACCAACGCC